UUUUUAGGAAUCCAAGGCAGGCCAACAUAUUGAAAUAAUAGCUACAAAACUCCUAACCUUCUUUGGGGGUCAUACACAGCAUACUAUACUUGGGAAUGGCAUUCUGACACAUUUAUUACAUAAUAAUGCUAUUAUAUGUAAUGCUAUUCUGACACAUUUGUUAGGUAACAUUAAUGGCUUUGAGUGGGACUUAGAACAAGAAAAGGCUCUGAAACAGAUCCAAGAUGUUGUUUGAGCCAUGCAACUAGAAGAUCUCAUAGAACUAAAGUUAUCUAAUUUACAGAAAAGGUUUUACGUGACGUCUAUUGUACAGAUUCAUAUGAAAACCAUAGUUCAAACUCCAAGGUUUAAGAAGUAAGAAAGAUCAUGCCAUUUGCAACAAACAUGCAUGCAUAUUUGAAAAGCAACUGUAAGUAUGCUAUUGGACAUUGGUAAAGAUUGAAUAUCUGACCAUGGCAUAUCAAGAAACCAUGGAAUGAGUACUGCUUAUCAAGAUCUGGGUGUGAGAAGACUUAAAAAGUCAGAUAGUCAGUGAGAACCAGCUAGAAUCCAUGAAAUUGUGACCAAUAAGAAUCCCAGAGAAGUUCUGCCCUAAUGGAGUCAACUUGAUUUGAGAUGCAAAUAGAUUUGCGCAAUUGAAAAAGUGGGAAGAUGAAGUGUUUGGAGGGCUUUUAAAUGGAGUAAAAUGGAAACAAAGACAAGUUAUCCCAACACCAAAAAGAGUAGGGGAUAGAAGGAUAUGUCAAGGUUUGAAAACCAUCCUUCAGAAAUGCAGGAAAGUCAAAGCUAGAAAUUUCUUUUAUGGUACCCAGGAUUUGUUUUAAUUAAGUUUGAUAAGGCACACAGGCACGAACGUGAUUGUGGUUAAUAAAGGCAUUUGCAUUAUUCUCACGGUCUCCUAAAAAUAGAAGGCCCAGCACACUAUGCCUGGGAAGUAUCUGCAUGAGAUGAGCAGGCAGAGAGGAGAGCUGAGGGCAGGGCCUUGACUGGAGUUUUUGUUGGGAGGAAUGGACAAUGGAAAGCACGCAAGCCAAAUCUGUUGUGGGAAAACUAGAAGACCAAAAAAAGCACGAAAGUCAAGAAAGAAGUCUCUUUUCACAUGAAAGUGGCUGUGCUAAUGGUCUAUCAAGAUAUCCUGAGUUUCCAGUAGAGAUGUUUCAGCCAUAACACAGGCCUGGUAGAAAAAGCCUGAAGACAAAUACUGCUAUGAAUGGUUACAUCUAGGACUUCUGAAAUUAGCCCCAGAUUCAACUCAUUUUUUUCUGCAUUUGCUGAGCAAUAUGACAUGUUUACACCGAUUAGCUAAAAAGUUAUGUGAAGAAUGGGCAACAAUAUCUCUAA
rnacentral:lncRNA from 1 species